rnacentral:rRNA from 1 species
UAGGGAAUCUUCCACAAUGGACGCAAGUCUGAUGGAGCAACGCUGCGUGAGUGAAGAAGGUCUUCGGAUCGUAAAACUCUGUUGUUAGAGAAGAACACGAGUGAGAGUAACUGUUCAUUCGAUGACGGUAUCUAACCAGCAAGUCACGGCUAACUACGUGCCAG